rnacentral:rRNA from 1 species
UACAGAGACUGCAAGCGUUAUUCGGAUUCACUGGGCGUAAAGGGUGCGCAGACGGUUGGGUGUGUCAGAUGUGAAAUCCCGAGGCUUAACCUCGGAACUGCGUCUGAAACUACUCGACUAGAGUACUGGAGAGGGAAACGGAAUUCACGGUGUAGCAGUGAAAUGCGUAGAUAUCGUGAGGAACACCAGAGGCGAAGGCGGUUUCCUGGACAGUUACUGACGCUCAGGCACGAAAGCAUGGGGAGCAAAAGGG